rfam:Triticum aestivum genome assembly, contig: Triticum_aestivum_CS42_TGACv1_scaffold_543100_6DS
UGUUUGCUGUGAUGAGAUCACAAGGACGGUAUCUGAGAAAGGUGGCUCUUUAAGAAGUUACCCUACCUGAUUAUAAAUCCUAAACUGAUCAAAUUUUCUGAGCAAAUG